rnacentral:rRNA from 1 species
AUUGAACGCUGGCGGCAGGCCUAACACAUGCAAGUCGAGCGAGCGGCGGACGGGUGAGUAAUGCCUGGGAAUUGCCCAGUCGAGGGGGAUAACAGUUGGAAACGACUGCUAAUACCGCAUACGUUUGGAUUGCCCAGGUGGGAUUAGCUAGUUGGUGAGGUAAUGGCUCACCAAGGCGACGAUCCGUAGCUGGUCUGAGAGGAAGAGCAGCCACACGGGGAGUGAGAAACGGUCCAGAUUCCUACGGGAGGCAGCAGUGGGGAAUGUUGGACAAGGGGGGAAACACUGAUGCAGACAUGCGGCGGGUUUGAAGAAGGCCUUCGGGUUGUAAAGCACUUUAGGUGAGGAGGAGUUACACAAAGAAGAAGCACCGGCUAACUCCGUGCCAGCAGCCGCGGUAAUUC